rnacentral:rRNA from 1 species
GACGAACGCUGGCGGCGUGCUUAACACAUGCAAGUCGAACGGAAAGGCCCUGCUUUUGUGGGGUGCUCGAGUGGCGAACGGGUGAGUAACACGUGAGUAACCUGCCCUUGACUUUGGGAUAACUUCAGGAAACUGGGGCUAAUACCGGAUAGGAGCUCCUGCUGCAUGGUGGGGGUUGGAAAGUUUCGGCGGUUGGGGUUGGACUAGCGGCUUACCAGCUUGUUGGUGGGGUAGUGGCUUACCAAGGCUUUGACGGGUAGCCGGCCUGAGCGGGUGACCGGCCACAUUGGGACUGAGAGACGGCCCAGACUCCUACGGGAGGCAGCAGUGGGGAAUAUUGCACAAUGGGCGGAAGCGUGAUGCAGCAACGCCGCGUGCGGGAUAACGGCCUUCGGGUUGUAAACCGCUUUCGCCUGUGACGAAGCGUGAGUGACGGUAAUGGGUAAAGAAGCACCGGCUAACUACGUG